UAAUAAGCAAUGAUUUGAGAACAUAUUUUUAUCAGUAUCUUAAGCGAACUUUGGAUGGUGUAAGCAAAGUAGAUAUCAAAAAUAUGGAACACUCAAUGAGCAGGAUAGGAGAAAUAAGAGUAGACUAUCCCGUUAGGCUGCGUUAAAGCUUCAGAGUGCAUAAUUGAGAGAUUAUGAAUGAGGAUGGUACCGCGAUAUAAGUCGUUCCUUAA
rnacentral:ncRNA from 1 species